rnacentral:rRNA from 1 species
UACGUAGGGUGCGAGCGUUAAUCGGAAUUACUGGGCGUAAAGCGUGCGCAGGCGGUCUGUUAAGACCGAUGUGAAAUCCCCGGGCUUAACCUGGGAACUGCAUUGGUGACUGGCAGGCUUUGAGUGUGGCAGAGGGAGGUAGAAUUCCACGUGUAGCAGUGAAAUGCGUAGAGAUGUGGAGGAAUACCGAUGGCGAAGGCAGCCUCCUGGGCCAGCACUGACGCUCAUGCACGAAAGCGUGGGGAGCAAACAGG